UCUUUCUCCCCUCAGAGACCACCGUCACCCCCUCACCUGUUGCCACCCCUGUGCUGGGGGUUGUGGGGCGCAGGCCCUGCUUGGCCCGCAGAGUGCCCGCCCGUGCCCCCCCCUCUGCCAAAGGACCCUCCCCUCUGAGUACAGCAGGGACCCAAACAGCGCUGCUUGGUCCCCUCCAGGAGGGUGCAUCCAUGGGGCUGAGGGUCCCCAAGAAGAAGAAGAACGGCACCCCAGGCUCCUCCAGUGCUGGCUUGACUCUCUGCGUCUCUGUCACCAAGAACAUGCAUUCUGCCCCCCGCACUCAGUGCUCGCUCCGCACGCCAUGCCUCACCCCUUGCAUCUCCCAGCCACGUGCCCUGCAGGUAGGGGGCAGCUUGAGCACAGGGAAGGGGUCCCAACCUGCCCCCCCAGCCCCUGCUGAUGGCGUUGUCCCCUCGGAGACCCCCCUGCGCUGGCGACCGGCUGUGACUCCCCCGUCUGACCCCAGUGCAUACGCUGCUGUCAACAACAACAAUCUGUCCCCAUCCUGGGACAAGGUGGUGGUGCAGCUCUUCAAGGGGAACGAAGGCCAGCAGGAUGCUAAGGUGAUGAUGACACAUCCCAGCAGCACCCCAGACCCCAGCAAGGCACAGCGUGCAGCCCUGCUCCUGCAGCAGCUGCUGCAGAUGGUGCAGGACCGGCCGGAUGCCGUAGCGGUGCUGACGGAGCUGUGGGGGCUCGUGACCGAGUUGGGGGUGGACCCCAUGCCCCAGGACCCCCUGGACACUCACAGCCUCUCCUCGUAACUGCGACCUACGUGGGGGUUGAGCUGCAUCUCUGUGAACAAAGGGAGUGGGUGAAGGCACAGACAGACCCUCCUGGUGGUGGCCAAGUGGCUGUUGGGGGGUACAGAUGGCCCCCUGCAGCAGGCAGACCCCCCUCCAAUGCAGGGCAGUGUGGGUGUUCUGGGCACGAGGAGUGUGAGAGCUGGGGGGGAGAGGGAGAACGCUGAAAAUAAGUGUGAAUAAAAUAUUGUCUGCU
rnacentral:lncRNA from 1 species